GCUACCAUGACUUUGAUCCCCGUCUUCAUCUGGACACUGAUCCUCUGGACUCAAGAAUGCAGAGGUCAAGUCACAGUAACUCAGACUCCUGCAGUGAAAUCUGUUCUUCCAGGAGAAACAGUCACCAUCAACUGUAAAACCAAUCCUCAAGUGUAUCAAAGCUGGAGUUAUCAACCUUUAGCUUGGUAUCAGCAGAAAACUGGAGAAGCUCCUAAACUCCUGAUUAAAUAUGUAAAUCAGAGACAGUCAGAUUUUCCAGCUCGUUUCAGUGGCAGUGGAUCUGGAUCUGAUUUCACUCUGACCAUCAGUGGAGUCCAGACUGAAGAUGCAGGAGAUUACUACUGUCAGAGUUUCCAUUACAUCAGUAGCACCAACCUGUUCACACAGUGUUAUAGAGUCGUACAAAAACCUCCCUCAGUCAGAUUGUAGAGAGACUGAACUGCUGCAGCUGGGAGCGACUGCAGGUGCUGAGUUGGAGGAUGUGAUACGACACAAUGACACUCUGUGGAGGAGAAGAACCACAUCACACUAACUUAAACACACUGAACACAGUCCAUCACAUAAAUUGUAAAAUUUAUAGUUAUAUAAAUUUAUUGUGGUUCAGUGGAUAAUCUGUAAUUUCCUUCAGUCUCUGUCCCUAAUCCUGCCCCCAAGAAAGUCUCGGAUUCUGAUGAACAUCCUGUGGAGAUGAUUCUCCAUGUCAAUAUGUUGUUCUCUCGAUGGAGAAUUCUUUACUUACACCAUCUCACCUUCUCUCCUCAUAUUGCAUUAAGACUCUUCUCUUUCUUGGCCUGCAGGUUUUCUAUUUCCAAAAAAGACCAACACCAAACACUACAAUGAGAACUUUAUUUCUCUAAAUCUCCUCAUCUAGUGUUGUUGUACUGCUGUACUAACUAAUGCUAACUCACCAUGAACACUGAUUUAGCUUCAUAAUAUUUUAUUAGACCAUGAGGAUGUGUUUUGUUGGAGAUUACAAAGCACUUCUACUUCUGGAAGUCACUCUGGAAAAGGAAAGCUGCCAAAUCCUGGAAAUGUAAAUAUCCCUGUGACAGAGAGUACAUUUCUACUUCCUGUGCUGUCUCCUGCUUCAGGUCUCCUUCCAGUCUGCUGCUUUAUUUUGUCAGGAGACAUGUAGCAUGGAGUUGUCUCUCUAUUAUAUCUCUCUAUUCAUCCUGUUGAUGACCCAGUGUUAUCCAUGAUCCUUGACUAAUGUUCUAUCUCUUCCUGACAUUUCAUUUACAUUAGAAGUAGCACAUUACACAAACUUCCCCUCCAGUUAAAUAUUGUUUUUGUCCCUGAAUGAAUGUUUUAUUGCUUUAUCCAAAAGUGAUGAAAGAAAAUCUGUUCUACGAUUAUUUUCAGUUUUUUACAUCAGUUUAUUCUUUAAUGUAUUUUAUUGGAAUUUGUGAAAUGUUUAAUUGUUUGAUGCAAAUUCUGACCAAUAAGAGAAAUAAGAAGUGAAAGUGAUCCUCCUCACUACAUAAAGAGGAAGAUUUACUGAGUUACACACACACACACACACACACACACACACACACACACACACACACACACACACACACACACACACACACACACACACACACACACACACACAUUUGCAUGAACAGCUCUGAGACUCAGAAUAGAUCACCACUUUCAGCAGAUGUUCAUGGUUCUUCAGCCAAACUCACUCAAGCACAACACACAGUGCUGAACUCGACCUGCUGUUAAAGGUGCUGUUCCAAAUCGCUGACAAAGACACUUCACUCAUGAAGAAGGAGACCUGCUUUCUACAUAGAAGCUUUAUUUCAGCAGAGCUACACACUGAUAUCAUCUCAGACUACUAAGCAUGGUUUGAAGCAGGGGUGGGAAAACUUUUUGACUCGCGGGCCACAAUGGUUAUUAAAAUUUGACAGAGGGGCCGGGCCGGAAUAGGUGAUUGGUGUGUUUGUGUGAACUAAUAUAAAUUAAAUGUAAAAACCAUUACAUGAAAAGAUUUAGCUUUUAACAGGCAGCAAAACACAAUUUUGCUUAGUUUAUUGUAAAAAUUGUUACAAAUUUAUUAAUUUAAUACCGUAGUAAUAAACUCCCAUUCAGUUUCAGUGGGAAAAGUGUUGUUGGUCUCCUUUUUUUGCAAGUGCGUCAAUGUUUGGCAUUAUAUUUGUUGUGGCAAUUCUCAAGAUAGAUCCGAGGUGUUGGUCAGUUAACUUGGAUCUGUGACGGGCUUUGUUGAUGUUCACACAAAUAGGUUGAACCAAAUAACGUCAGCAUCUUCUGUGCCAUCUUCCGGAGGUUUGGAAAGAAACGCUUAAUGGCCUUUGCUAAUUUGAAUGGCAGCAAAAAACUUGCUUUAGUACUUGACUCUUGAAUCGCGGUUUGUCUGUGAAAAAGGUUUUGCUGAGUCUGUAAAUUAGCCGUCAAUCUCUGAGCUGUAGCCGCCCGUUCU